rnacentral:rRNA from 1 species
UUGACCUCAAAUCAGGCAGGAGUACCCGCUGAACUUAAGCAUAUCAAUAAGCGGAGGAAAAGAAACCAACAGGGAUUGCCUUAGUAACUGCGAGUGAAGCGGCAAGAGCUCAAAUUUGAAAUCUGGCACCUUCGGUGUCCGAGUUGUAAUUUGUAGAAGCAUCUUUUGGAUUGGUCCUUGCAUAUGUUCCUUGGAACAGGACAUCAUAGAGGGUGAGAAUCCCGUUCAUGGUGGGGAAUCCAAUUCUUUGUAAAGUGCUUUCGAAGAGUCGAGUUGUUUGGGAAUGCAGCUCUAAGUGGGUGGUAAAUUCCAUCUAAAGCUAAAUAUUGGCGAGAGACCGAUAGCGAACAAGUACAGUGAUGGAAAGAUGAAAAGAACUCCGAAAGGAGAGUGAAAAAGGACGUGAAAUUGUUGAAAGGGAAGUGCUUGAGAUCAGUCUUAAGGUUUAGUGAUCAGUCUUCCUUUUGGUUGGUGCACUCACUAUUUCUUAGGCCAACAUCAGUUUUCGCGGCAGGAUAAUGACAUUGGAAUGUGGCUCUUUCGGGAGUGUUAUAGCCUUUGUUGAUACUGCCUGCUUAGACUGAGGACCGCGCUUUUGCUAGGAUGUUGGCAUAAUGAUCUUAAGCAGC